AGCUCUCAAAACGCAAUUGGCUUAAAACCUGAUUGUUGUUUUGGAUUUGAACUUUGCCGUGUUACAACGGCUGGUUUUAAAAGCAUUAGCUGGUACUAGAACGAAUUGGUUCUACUCAACGUGAUAAUUAUCUGAUCGUUGAGGACAUUCCUUUCACGAGGAAUGGCCAUAGUAAAUUCAAUGGACUGCUUCUAACUUGGCUUUAAUUCUUAAUUGGAUUAACCACUUUUCAA
rnacentral:misc_RNA from 1 species